CAACAACCAGGAAAGCUUAAGACCUUUUAGAAAAGAUAAUUGUAUUGUUUCAUUUUCCCUUUUUAUUUAUUAUAGAUUGUACACUGUAUUUGUGCUAGUGGCUCUCUCUCCUUCCAUCUUUGUUGUUUAUAUCUUGUGGUGGAGUUAAUAUACGAGAUAACAAGUCAAAAAGAUCGAAAGA